CUCUAUAGAGAAACCUGUAGAGGGGGCUCUAUAGAGAAACCUGUAGAAACCCGCAAGCAAAAAGCGAGAAAACAACAAAGAAAUGGGCAAAACUGCAUAGCGCCCCUUUAAGAAACUAAGAUUAAGUUAAGUUUAACUCGGCUUUGAAGUCACAAACUGGCUGUGAUUGGAUCGUCAAACACGCUGUAUACAGUUGGGUAUUAAAGGGUGACCAAAAUUGUAUUAUUCUCCAGACCGCAACCGCAAAAUAAUAACGGGGCCUUAAUAACCUCGACGACAGAGAACCAGACCUUUUUAAUGUAAAACCAGUUACAUUGAAGACGAGCCUUUAUUUUUAAACCCAAUGUGUUUUUUAUCAUGUUUUAGUAGGCAGCCGCCCUGUGUUCUGAUCUGCUCCUGUUUUUAUUUGUAGUUAAUGCAAACUCAAAACCUUUGUUUCCCUGUUGUCUUGAUAUAUUCAGUAUAAUGUACAUUUCUUCAGCACUAUUUCCAGAUUCACCAAACAAAACAGAGAUUCUCUUUUUAACACAGAUACUGUUUUUAGUUACUAAUUAGUUUCAGUCACUGCACUUCAGUCUCUUUUUAAGUCGCUGUUAAGCUACCGUUAAUGGAACGCUUUAUGCAGAGAUUUACAUGUAAAACCUUCCGUCGUCACAGGAUAUCCUCUUGUUGCCAGCGGGCUUUUAAUUUGAAAAAUUAGCAGGAAGUGUCACCGUCAUUUCUCUGUGUGUCGCCGUUCUCAAACUUUGUUCACUUUGAGAAACGACUAAAUUUGAGGUAGCAAGCUAAACGCUAAAAAAUGUGGAUGGUGCAACAAGGCAGGGCGUAAAGAUUUAGAAAUGUUUAAAGUAAUGCAAAUAAACUCAGAGUGCCCCCCCCGUCCUAUCCCAGAAUGCAUCUGUGGUGGAGCCAGACCUUCCUGCACAGCCCCGUGGAGAUAGAACAGGAUAUGCAAAACUAUAGCAACCGUAACUCAAUGGCAAUAAAACAAAAAAGAGCAAUUUCUCUUGGAAGAAUUGUAGAGUCUCUCUAAAUUUAAGGAGCGUGGUCUAGACCUUAUUAUUUGACACUAUAAAUACAAUUAAAGUGCUGUGCAUUAUACUGAAUUUUAACAUUUUAGACAUACUAGCAUGGUGGUAAAUGAACUCUCUGCAGCCGUCUCCAGCCAUGUGUUGUUGUUCACCCCCGUUAUUUAAAUACCAGCUUUUAUUUUGAAAAAGUACAACUUAUUCUUCUUUUUCUGCUUUGUAUUCUUUUGUAUGUUAUUGUAACUAACGUGAUAUUCUACUGGCUUAUGAUGUAUUAUUUGCACACAGCUUAAAACUAAAAGGUCAGUGUGGCACACACACACACUUUG